rnacentral:rRNA from 1 species
CAAGGGAUUUUUCCCCAAUGGCCGAAAGGCUGAGGGAGCAACGUCGCGUGCAGGACGACGGCCUUCGGGCUGUAAACUGCUUUUGGGGGGGAAGAUACUGACGGUACCCCCCGAAUAAGCCCCGGCUAACUCCGUGCCAGCAGCCGCGGUAAGACGGAGGGGGCAAGCGUUGUCCGGAAUCACUGGGCGUAAAGCGCGUGUAGGUGGUCUGGUGCGUCGGCGCUGAAAGCUCUGGGCUCAACCCAGAGAAGCGUGCCGAUACGACCGGACUUGAGGCAGAGAGAGGGUAGCGGAAUUCCGGGUGUAGUGGUGAAAUGCGUAGAGAUCCGGAGGACGCCAGAGACGAAGGUGGCUACCUGGCUCUGACCUGACACUGAGACGCGAUAGCGUGGGGAGCGAACCGGAUUAGAUACCCGGGUAGUCCACGCCGUAAACGAUGCCGGCUCGUUCUAGUGGGGGUUUACCGCCCCGUGUGGGCCAAGCUUACGCGUUAAGCCGGCCGCC